rnacentral:rRNA from 1 species
GGACUACUCGGGUUUCUAAUCCUGUUCGCUCCCCACGCUUUCGCUCCUCAGCGUCAGUUACUGCCCAGAGACCCGCCUUCGCCACCGGUGUUCCUCCUGAUAUCUGCGCAUUCCACCGCUACACCAGGAAUUCCAGUCUCCCCUGCAGUACUCUAGUCUGCCCGUAUCGCCCGCACGCCGAGGGUUAAGCCCCCGGUUUUCACGAACAACGCGACAAACCACCUACGAGCUCUUUACGCCCAGUAAUUCCGGACAACGCUCGCACCCUACGUAUUACCGCGGCGGCUGGCAC